UACGUAGGGUGCAAGCGUUGUCCGGAAUUAUUGGGCGUAAAGAGCUUGUAGGCGGUUUGUCGCGUCUGCUGUGAAAUUUCGGGGCUCAACCCCGAACUUGCAGUGGGUACGGGCAGACUAGAGUGUGGUAGGGGAGACUGGAAUUCCUGGUGUAGCGGUGAAAUGCGCAGAUAUCAGGAGGAACACCGGUGGCGAAGGCGGGUCUCUGGGCAGUAACUGACGCUGAGAAGCGAAAGCGUGGGGAGCGAACAGG
rnacentral:rRNA from 1 species